rnacentral:lncRNA from 1 species
CUUUGUUGUACAUAAAUGUGUAUUGAAAUUUACUUUAAUCUUUAGUAUUUUGGUGAAUAUCUUUUUAUGUUUGUUUUUUAUUUUAUUUUUAUGAGCCUCUCUGUAAUUAGGGUGAAUGUCAUAUAUAUUACUAGUUGAACUGAUACACUGUAAAUGUGUUUCUUCUAUGUCAAAUGACUUAAAACUAUUUUAAUAUACCUUCAACAGGACCAUAGUAUAUCAUAUGCCUGGACUAUAUAUGUAGUCUCAAGCAAUCAUGUCUGGAGUAUUAUGGUAUUAUUUUUUUGUAUAUAAUUUAGUCAGGGUGUUUUUUGUAGCUUAUUUCACAUUUUUCUUAUUUUUUAUUUUUACAAACCGGUGAUGUAUAACCAACAAUAUGUGCCAUAUAAAAUAUGUUCUUCAAUGUGCUUAUAUUAAUGUGUCUCUUGUUUUUCAAAAAAAAUAUAUGGUGCACCAGCAUACAUAAAAGUGAUUUUACCUUUCAACUUCUCUAAUGUUUUAUAGUUUCAAGUUGUGCAAUCUACUGAAUUCCUUCUGACAGUUAAUAAAAUAGAAAUAUUAGAACUCUUUAAAACAAAGUUGAUAGUCCCUUUAUAUUUGUUUUUUGUGAAUAUUAUAAGAAUGUCUGUAUUGAUUAGCCGACAUAUUAAAAACAUUUUAGAGAUAAUUUGUGUUAAGACUAUUAUGAAAUAUAAAAUUGAGAAAGGAAAUGGGGAAUGUGUCAAAGCAACAACAACCCGACCAUAGAGCAGACAACAGCCUUGUAUGAGAUUAUAAAUACAUAAAUUAUAAAGAAAUAAUGUGUUAUAUCUAUGAUUAAUUUGAUACAUGUAAUAAUACAAAGCAUAUAUACAUGCUUUAUUCUUAUAGUGUCAAGAAAGUUUAGAUUUUCUAUUUGACAUAAUAGUAAAAUUCAUCUAUUUUAAGACAUCAGUUAAAAUAAUCUCACUUUUUUAUUUGAUUCACAUUUGAUUUCCUGCUAUUUGAUAAAUAGAACAAAACCCUGUAGAUGAAUCUGGAAUUUACUUGAAACUUUUGAUUUUGAUUUCGUUUCUCAAAAUUGAAAGUAGCUUAGGUGAUUCAAGAUAAGAUAACAGUUUUAAGUCAUUGAAAUAUUGAUUGUGAUUUCGUUUCUUUAAAUUCAAAGUAGCUUAGGUGAUUCCCGAGAAGUUAACAGUUUAAAGUCAUUGAAAUAAUUUCAGUUUUAUAUACUGUUGCAUACCAUAAAUCGUUCUUGAAUGUAUUUCAAAAAUGAAAGUUUCAUGAAGUAAAUUCUAUAAAAUGUUCAAUACAACUUCCAUGAUGUCGUGAAUGGUGGAUUUGACAGGUUUUAAAAAUUACCCCAACUUUCAAGUCAUCUAAAAAUUACUGAUAUUGUGUGAUAAAAUUUCUGGGUUCUUGAUCAAGGUAUAUUUCAUUUUUAAAACUCAGAUUUAAAUUUUUUCGCAAAUGCAUUUCACAACAAAAUCUUUAUCCUUCAAAUAGUAAACUUGAAAAUAAACACAAAUUACAAACACUAUUUG